rnacentral:rRNA from 1 species
GAUGAACGCUGGCGGCGUGCUUAACACAUGCAAGUCGAACGAAGCACUUUAUUUGAUUUCCUUCGGGACUGAUCAUUUUGUGACUGAGUGGCGGAUGGGUGAGUAACUCGUGGUUAACCUGCCUUGUACAGGGGGAUAACAGGUGGAAACCGCUGCUAAUACCGCAUAAGCGCCCAGCAUCGCAUGAUGCAUGGUGAAAACAUUCGGUGGUAUAAGAUGUACCCGCGUUGCAUUAUCUAGUUCCUGAGGUACCGGCCGACCAAGGCGACGAUCCAUAGACGACAUGAGAGACGGACCGGACACAUUGGGACUGAGACACGGCCGAAACUAGUACGGGAGGCAGCAGUGGGGAAUAUUGCAAAAUGGGCGAAAGCAUGAUGGAGCGACGGCGCGUGAGCGAAGAAGUAUUUCGGUAUGUAAAGCUCUAUCAGCAGGGAAGAUACUGACGGUACCUGAAGAAGAAGCACCGGCUAAAUACGUG